rnacentral:lncRNA from 7 species
ACAAAGCGUUUGUUUGCGGUGGCCGAGGACAGGCGGAUCUGGAAAAUGUACUGCGGGCGUUCAGGGAAGUGCAGCUCUCCCGCAGAAAUGGACAGAGGCCGGUUUACCCCGCUGUGACCCGGCACGCACACAGGCAAACUAAGCCCACUGCUCGAAGCUAGGAAAAUGUCAAGCUGUGGAGCAGAGCAGUACCGCUAAGCUUCAGUUACUAACCAGGCCUGCUUUCACUGCUGAUUACUUUGUCAGCAAAAUCGAAAGGUUGCUCAGGGCACUGACAGGAUAUGUGGCUGAGAAAGCGCCUUGCUGAGGGUUCUUUAACUCUGAUCUACAGUUAAGGACUUUGCGUUCUGGCUUGUUUAUCUUCCCAAAUUUUCAGGAAAAAAAAAAUGUUAACAUUUCUGUAUUGAUUCUUCGCUUGGGUGCAUUGUGAACAUGAGGUGCAUGCUACAUACAGGGAUGAAGGGUAUUCAGAUCUUCAGGAUACAAUAAUGCCGUACACAGCAAAAGACACUUUCACUUCCUGCAGUUUCGUUUCAUUUAGCUUCUUCCUCUCUGGGUGUUGGGACGCAGUGUAGGAGCCAAACGUGCUUUGAGUCAUCCAUCCACCAAAUCAUGCUUGAUUACACAGGAGUUCAGAGGGGAUUUACUCGAAGCUGUGUGUCAGAAUUUGUGUGAUCAUUGUUUCUAUAUCAGCCCUCAUGGAGAAACCUGGUCUUCCGUCACUUCCAUUAUACCACUUUGAACAGCUUUUCAACAUCACUUGUAACUAGAGCUGAUUUGAUAAUAAAGAAGCAUGUCGGAGGGGAAAUCUCAGUGCUAAAGGACCACAGCUGCUUUAUUAUAGUAACAGGUGGAAAGCUGCUCUGAAGAUCCUGCAUAAUAAAUUCUUUCUGAACAAAGAAACGUCAGAUUUAAUUAUACUGAAGAGUUGUUAAAAUGUUACAAAUACAGAAAAUCUUCAGGGUUUUUUUCUUCCUAAUACCCGUUUCUGACACACUGAGAGCAUUUACUUAUUCUCUGUUUAUUUCACUUCCUGGAGAAGUCGUUAAGUUCCAUGAAGCUCACUGUCAGGAGCUUUUAAAAAUGAAUCAUGUCCUGCAGUUAUUUAGAAGUAUGGCACCACUCCAAAACACAAUCAACUCAUUUGGAGUUUUCAAAUAUUGACAGUCAAGGUACAAUGUUUAGAGUCUCAGGUCUUAUUUCAGUGUUAACUUUGCCUUCAGUGAAGAAAUAUUUUUAUAUUUUAUGACCAUUUGAAAGGGUGCUUUAGCUUUAUCUGGAGAGAUGAAUUCAGGGAGGGGACGAUUUCUUACGUUAAAAAUAAUUGUUAGAAGCUGCCACAUUGCUUUUCUUUGAUUCUACAAAGUGCUGUUACCUCCUGGAUUCAAUAAAUCAAGC